UUCUUUACCCCCAGUGACGACUUGCCGGGUGUCGAUCAGUGCUUUUGCGGUUGCGAAAAAAAUAGUUUUAUUUCUUUCGAGUUAAGGUGUUCUCCGGAGAAAUGACAUUGCAUUCGCUCAGCGCCAUGUGCCAACAAGAUGUAAUAUAUAUUGGAACUCGGAUCACUCUGGUUAACCUACCCGCCUGGUCGGCUGCUCCAGCAUACGUUCCAAGUGUUCCAACUGUUCCAACUUUCAACUAUUGGAGCAUGUUGGAAGUUGGGACCGGUACAUGUUACGGCGACGACGUUCUGUCUUGACUGUUGCUGCUGGCUGCAAUGUCCCAGCUGGCGAGUGCUGUCGUGGAUUACAUCGCGUCACGCGUACCUGUUGAUAGUAGAAGCCAGGCUGCAGUGCUACCGGUGUCUGUGGAUUAUACUUGCAAAGAAGAAGCUCUUGAGGAAUUUCCUGAAGCACGUGCACUUUAUAUACGUGGACUUCAAACAUAAAGGUAUCCGGCCGUCGUGCUCUGUGUCACGUGACCCACUGCGACAGCAGCCACUAGAGACAUGAAUGCGUGUGGGAGCUCCACGAUGGAAGCGUUCUCA